rnacentral:rRNA from 1 species
UACGUAGGGUGCAAGCGUUAAUCGGAAUUACUGGGCGUAAAGCGUGCGCAGGCGGUUUCGUAAGACAGAUGUGAAAGCCCCGGGCUCAACCUGGGAAGUGCAUUUGUGACUGCGAGACUAGAGUGUGUCAGAGGGAGGUAGAAUUCCACGUGUAGCAGUGAAAUGCGUAGAGAUGUGGAGGAAUACCGAUGGCGAAGGCAGCCUCCUGGGAUAACACUGACGCUCAUGCACGAAAGCGUGGGGAGCAAACAGGAUUAGAAACCCUAGUAGUCC